GUGUCACAUUCUCUGGGCUCACCAGCGCCCUCUGCCUUGUAGCAUGCGUACUGCCACAAGGUGACUGUCUGCCUCACCUAGUGUGUUUUUAAAGCGCAUUUUAGUGGAUAAAAAGACUAAAUGAGUCACAAACUGGCACCAAUGUAAUCGGACAGAUGGCAAGAGAUAAGCAAAUUAGGUCAUUUUAGAAUAAAGCAUCUUUUAUGAUAAUUGAAAGACCAAAACUAUACAGCGCAUGCGUCAGCUGCAGCUACAGUCGGUGUGUGCGGCCUCACCCAGCGCUUUUUGGUGUAUUUGAACAGGGUGUCAUGAUUCUGCUCCACCCUCACCUGCCUGAUUGCUUAUUCUGAACACCUGCGCGCUCCUCUAUUUAAGACUCUUCCCCUCCAGGCUCAGUACUGGAUUGUUGUCUACUCCCUGAAGUUCUCUGUACGCACGCCUUGCUAUUUUGCCUCGUCCUCGACCCUGCUCACGCUCUGGAUUCCUGCUCCUGCCUUCACCCUUCGGUACCUCCGCCUUGGACCCACUCUGAUCUCCGUGUUGCUGACCCUCACUUCGUCCACGUCUUGCCGCCCCUGCCUCCUCCUCUGGAUAUUUCUGCCGCCCUGAAGAACCCUUGGACUCCCCCUAGUGCUUGGAGGACCUUACUGCAGACAUAAUAAACUGCUUUACUUAACUAAA